AACGCCGCGUGAGUGAAGAAGGCUUUCGGGUCGUAAAACUCUGUUGUUGGAGAAGAAUGGUCGGCAGAGUAACUGUUGUCGGCGUGACGGUAUCCAACCAGAAAGCCACGGCUAACUACGUGCCAGCAGCCGCGGUAAUACGUAGGUGGCAAGCGUUAUCCGGAUUUAUUGGGCGUAAAGCGAGCGCAGGCGGUUUUUUAAGUCUGAUGUGAAAGCCCUCGGCUUAACCGAGGAAGUGCAUCGGAAACUGGGAAACUUGAGUGCAGAAGAGGACAGUGGAACUCCAUGUGUAGCGGUGAAAUGCGUAGAUAUAUGGAAGAACACCAGUGGCGAAGGCGGCUGUCUGGUCUGUAACUGACGCUGAGGCUCGAAAGCAUGGGUAGCGAACAGGAUUAGAUACCCUGGUAGUCCAUGCCGUAAACGAUGAAUGCUAGGUGUUGGAGGGUUUCCGCCCUUCAGUGCCGCAGCUAACGCAUUAAGCAUUCCGCCUGGGGAGUACGACCGCAAGGUGAAACUCAAAGGAAUUGACGGGGGCCCGCACAAGCGGUGGAGCAUGUGGUUUAAUUCGAAGCAACGCGAAGAACUUACCAGGUCUUG
rnacentral:rRNA from 2 species